GAUGAACGCUGGCGGCGUGCCUAAUACAUGCAAGUCGAGCGAACAGACGAGGAGCUUGCUCCUCUGACGUUAGCGGCGGACGGGUGAGUAACACGUGGAUAACCUACCUAUAAGACUGGGAUAACUUCGGGAAACCGGAGCUAAUACCGGAUAAUAUAUUGAACCGCAUGGUUCAAUAGUGAAAGACGGUUUUGCUGUCACUUAUAGAUGGAUCCGCGCCGCAUUAGCUAGUUGGUAAGGUAACGGCUUACCAAGGCAACGAUGCGUAGCCGACCUGAGAGGGUGAUCGGCCACACUGGAACUGAGACACGGUCCAGACUCCUACGGGAGGCAGCAGUAGGGAAUAUUGCGCAAUGGGCGAAAGCUUGACGGAGCAACGCCGCGUGAGUGAUGAAGGUCUUCGGAUCGUAAAACUCUGUUAUUAGGGAAGAAAAAAUGUGUAAGUAACUAUGCCCGUCUUGACGGUACCUAAUGAGAAAGCAACGGCUAACUACGUG
rnacentral:rRNA from 1 species